UACGUAGGGUGCAAGCGUUGUCCGGAAUUAUUGGGCGUAAAGAGCUCGUAGGCGGUUUGUUGCGUCGGCUGUGAAAUCCCGAGGCUCAACCUCGGGUCUGCAGUCGAUACGAGCAAACUAGAGUGUUGCAGGGGAGACUGGAAUUCCUGGUGUAGCGGUGAAAUGCGCAGAUAUCAGGAGGAACACCGGUGGCGAAGGCGGUGGUCUGGGCCGGCACUGACGCUGAGGAGCGAAAGCGUGGGGAGCUAACAGG
rnacentral:rRNA from 1 species